GUGCUUGCUUUGGCAGCCCAUACAUUAAAACUGGAACAAGACAAGAAGAUUAGCUUGCCCCCCCCAUGUGAGGAUGACAUGCAAAUUUAUGAAGUGUUUCAUAUAAUA
ensembl:snRNA U6 U6 spliceosomal RNA